rnacentral:rRNA from 1 species
AGGGUUUGAUUCUGGCUCAGGAUGAACGCUGGCGGCGUGCUUAACACAUGCAAGUCGAACGAAGCAUUUAAGACAGAUUACUUCGGUUUGAAGUCUUUUAUGACUGAGUGGCGGACGGGUGAGUAACGCGUGGGUAACCUGCCUCAUACAGGGGGAUAGCAGCUGGAAACGGCUGGUAAUACCGCAUAAGCGCACAGUACCACAUGGUACAGUGUGAAAAACUCCGGUGGUAUGAGAUGGACCCGCGUCUGAUUAGCUAGUUGGCGGGGUAACGGCCCACCAAGGCGACGAUCAGUAGCCGACCUGAGAGGGUGACCGGCCACAUUGGGACUGAGACACGGCCCAG